CGGCGGACCGGGGAAGCCCCGCGCCCUGGCCAGGAAUAAUCGGUGGAGAUGGAUUGUGAAAUGGAGGUGCAUAAAUAUCCAGUUUGCCAACCGAGCUAAGAAAUGCUGGAUAAAAGUAAAAGGAUAUAGAAGACUUAGAUCACUACGAGAUGAAAGCAGAGCCCAUUAGUGGGAAAAAGUUGGAGGAUGAAGGAAUUGCAAAAGAAAAUUUGGCAAUAUUAGAGAAAUUAGGAAGACUGAAAGGGUUGACCCUGCUAGUCCUUUGCACAGUGAUCUUCAGAUCUUAAAAGAAAAAGAAGGCAUAGGAGAUACUUUGCUUAACUUAUCUUUUAAGAAACUGUUGUCGUUGUCAACUGGGUUGUCUUCCUGAAGUAUGAAUCCGCCAAUGGCUCCUGACACCAG
rnacentral:lncRNA from 1 species